GCACCGUCUUCGCCGAUUGAAGAGGCGCUCGAACCCGAACCCCAACCCCGCGCCGCCGACGAGCACGACAACGGCGCCCCGCCGCUGUUCUUCUCGGGCGCCUCUCCGGAGGAAACCUCGGUCUCCUCCGUAAUAACUCUGCAGCAGUUUAAGUAGUACCGGUGCUUCUCCAGUGGCUGAGUCUGCUCGCCCCUCAGCUGGAUCCGUGUAAAUCCAUCGGUACCAUCGUCUGAUAGUUGGAUAGUUGAACAUGGGAACCUACAACCAUCUUUGGUCAAUAGCCAAGAGGAAUGCAAUGGCGGUUGUAAUUGGCAUCUCCAUUUCCGACCGCUAUGUGGCCUUCACUUCGGUGACCGGCGAAUCCAUGUAUCCUACGUUUACGGCCUCCAGCAGCGUCUGGGGAGGGUGUUGGAACCAGGUGAUUUCGUUUUAGCAGAAAAGAGGUGCAUUGAGCAGUACAAGUUCUCACAUGGUGAUGUGAUUUUGUUCAAAUUCCCUUAGGUCUUGUUCAGGGGAGGGUUACCCACAUAAUUUGGCCUCCAUCGAGGACUGGCCGAGUGGAGAGAAAGAUACCUGAAGGGAGAAUUUCACCUGGUUGAUCUUACUCCCUACCUACUCCAUUGGAUGAUGAUUCAUCUACCAGACAUAAACCUGCUCGAUUAUCAUGUAUUAUCAAAUCAUAAGUUUUGUAAAGCCACAAAUGUAUACUUGCCCCAUUAGUUGUACUGUGAUGCUGUAUUCUGGGAUCUUCAAAAAUCCACUGGAGUGGCUUUUUUUUA